CCUAGUAGCUCAGAUGGUCAAGCAUCUGCCUGCAAUGCAGAAGACCUGGGUUCGAUCCCUGCUCCAGGA
rnacentral:tRNA from 1 species